GACGUAGGGCGCGAGCGUUGUCCGGAUUUAUUGGGCGUAAAGAGCUCGUAGGCGGCUUGUUGCGUCGACCGUGAAAACCCGGGGCUCAACUGCGGGCUUGCAGCCGAUACGGGCAGGCUAGAGUUCGGUAGGGGAGACUGGAAUUCCUGGUGUAGCGGUGAAAUGCGCAGAUAUCAGGAGGAACACCGGUGGCGAAGGCGGGUCUCUGGGCCGAUACUGACGCUGAGGAGCGAAAGCGUGGGGAGCGAACAGG
rnacentral:rRNA from 1 species